GAUGAACGCUGGCGGCGUGCCUAAUACAUGCAAGUCGAGCGAACGGACGAGAAGCUUGCUUCUCUGAUGUUAGCGGCGGACGGGUGAGUAACACGUGGAUAACCUACCUAUAAGACUGGGAUAACUUCGGGAAACCGGAGCUAAUACCGGAUAAUAUUUUGAACCGCAUGGUUCAAAAGUGAAAGACGGUCUUGCUGUCACUUAUAGAUGGAUCCGCGCUGCAUUAGCUAGUUGGUAAGGUAACGGCUUACCAAGGCAACGAUGCAUAGCCGACCUGAGAGGGUGAUCGGCCAAACUGGAACUGAGAAACGGUCCAGACUACAACGGGGGGCAGCGGUGGGGAGUCUUCGGAAAUGAGCAAAGGCCUGACGGGGAAACGCAGGGGGGUGAAUGAAGGUCUUCGAAUCGUAAAACUCUGUUAUUAGGGAAAAACAUAUGUGUAAGUAACUGUGCACAUCUUGACGGUACCUAAUCAGAAAGGCACGGCUAACUACGUG
rnacentral:rRNA from 1 species